rnacentral:tRNA from 1 species
GCCAGGUUAGCCAAGUGGUACGGCGGCCGCCUCGAGAGCGGCUGUGCAUUUGCACUCAGGGGUUCGAAUCCCUUACCUGGCG